rnacentral:rRNA from 1 species
AGUGUUUAAAGCAGGCUUCAAAUGCCUGAAUAUUUUGUGCAUGGAAUAAUGAAAUAAGACCUCUGUUCUACUUUCAUUGGUUUUUAGAUCAAGAGGUAAUGAUUAAUAGAAGCAGUUUGGGGGCAUUAGUAUUACGACGCGAGAGGUGAAAUUCUUGGACCGUCGUAAGACUAACUUAAGCGAAAGCAUUUGCCAAAGAUGUUUUCAUUAAUCAAGAACGAAAGUUAGAGGUUCGAAGGCGAUCAGAUACCGCCCUAGUUCUAACCAUAAACGAUGCA